AAAAAAAAAGUUUCUGUACAGCAAAGGAAACCCUAAACAGAAAGAAAACACAACCCACAGAAUGGGAGAAAAUAUUUGCAAAUGAAUCGACUGACAAGGGAUUAAUCUCAAAAAUUUAUGAACACCUCCUACAGCUCAAUACCAAAAAAACAAACAACCCCAUCAAAAAAUGGGCAGAAGAUCUAAACAGACAGUUAUCCAAACAAGACAUACAGAUGGCCAAAAAACACAUGACAAGAUGUUCAACAUCACUCAUUAUUAGAGAAAUGCAAAUCAAAACCACUAUGAGGUACCACCUUACACCAGCCAGAAUGGCCAUCAUCAAAAAGUCUACAAACAAUAAGUGCUGGAGAGGGUGUGGAGAAAAAGGAAUCCUAUUACACUGUUGGUGGGAUUGUAAAUAGGGGAAACCACUAUUGAAAACAGUGUGGAGAUUCCUCAGAAAACUAAAAAUAAAACAACCAUUUAAUCAGUAAUCCCACUCCUGGGCAUCUAUCCAGAGAAAACCAUGACUCAAAAAAACACAUGUACUCCAGUGUUCAUUGCAGCACUAUUUGCAACAGCUAAGACAUAGAAACAACCUAAAUGUCCAUUGACAGAGGAGUGGAUCAAGAAAAUGUGGUACAUAUACACAAUGGAAUAUUACUCAGCCAUUAAAAGGAAUGGAAUAUCGGCAUUUUUAGCAACAUGGAUGGACCUAGAAAUUAUCAUGCUAGAUGAAGUCAGCCAUACAAUGAGACACCAACAUCAAAUGCUUUCACUUACAUGUGGAAUCUAAAAAAAGGACAGAAUGAACUUCUUCACAGAACAGAUACUGACUCACAGACUUUGAAAAAUUUAUAGUUUCCAAAGGAGACAGUUUGGGGGUGGGGGGAUGUGCUGGGGUUGUGGGAUGUAAAUGCUGUAAAAUUGGGUUGUGAUGAUCAUUGUACAACUAUAAAUGUAAUAAAUUCAUUGAGUAAUAUAAAAAAUUAAAAAAAAAGAAAGAAAAUAACCUCCGCUUUUGGCCACUUUGAUCUCUCUCCACGGUCCCGAAACUUCUUGCUUUGAACACAGCUAAAAAUAACCCAAAUAACUUCCUUACCUAGGAGAUGAUGGUGCUACGGACCUCACAGUGGAAGUCAGGAGAUAGAGGGAUUGUGUAUUUAUAUUCCAAAGAAAGUUUCUGGGACUUUCUAAAGCUUCAAAAAAAGUUAGUUUUGAAUACUUUGCAAGUUUCAGAAGAAUCUCUCUAUAGGCUGGUACAGUGAUAGCAACAGCUUCUUCCAACAUCAAGCAGGAAUUUUUAUUAGCAUGAGGGCAUGUUCAAGAGACACCCUAAACACAGCACAUAGAAGCAGCCGUAGACAAAGGAUAAGCUUUGUCAUGAAACAUUAGUUUCCAUUUGACAACGUUUAGGGAUUGGAGGUGAUAAAGAGCGCUUAACUUCAGACCUUGUGCCUCCUAUACCUGGGUUUACAUCACUGGAUUCGAAGAGGAGAAAAAUCACAAAUGAUGAAUUGUGUGAACAGGGAAGAAGCGGUCCUGUGUUUGUGGCAGAGACAAACAUAGCAGCAUUCUCCAGGGAAGUGUGCUAGUCUCAUGCUGUCACUCAGUGUAAAAUAGGAUCCAGAUCAGGAAUCCUAUGACAGUGAGAAGCCUUCCCCUGGGCUUCCUUCAGGGCUUGGAGUGGGUCUUUGCCAGGCAGCAUUAGUAGGCUGCCAUUAUUUAAACCAAGCCUAAGUACAUAGAAAGAGACUAGAGUGUGGGAAGCAUAAACAUGCUCUUAACUUCUCUAAUUAUAACAGUUAAAAUAUUUCUUCCUGCUCUGAGAAGCGCCCGUGUACUUUGGAACAGUGACAUUGAGCCCAUAUACUAUUAAGCCCUCACUACUCAAAAAACAGUGUUACUAAGUGUUAAAUGGUCUCUUUACUCUUUUUAGUCAUUUUUAGUGUAUUCUUUUAAGAAAAAACUACAGUAACAUUUACUGCAACUUUUACAUUGUGGAAUUUGUUGACAGAAUAUAGGUUACAGCACUGACCUUUGGAAAAAUUACUUUCCUUGAGAUAAUUUAUAACCUGUAGAAGGCAUUUGGUGUCUUAAUGUUUUCUUUUAGUUUCUUACUCUGUCACUGUUUCUUUUUAUUGCAUGAAGUAGACUCAGUAUCCAGCAAAGCUUCUAGGAUGAAAGCAGCUAUCUAUUUCCCAAAUAGAUUCUGAAGGACAGACUGAGAUGGAGUAAAGGGCUGUGCAUCUGUGAGCCUGAUUAACCUUGUGUGGUUGGGUGAAAACUCUUGGCUCAGGUAAAGAAGGAAGAGGAGGAAGGGGAGGUAAAAUGAUGACAAGGUUUUUGGGUUUGUUUGGGCGUUAAGAAUGCCAGGCAUCUUGCUAUGCUUUUUACAGAUUUUCAUAGACAAUCUCCAUCACAACUCUUUGAGGUAGGUUAUCAUCUUCUCCAUUUUAUAGAUAUGGGUGUUGAACCAUAGCAAAGUUAAUUGUCCAGAAUCACAAUUACUGAGUCCAUUAGUUUAAUAAUUCUGAUUAAACUGUUCAAUUAUUGUUCUUUAUCAAAUUAUGCAAGUAAAUAGAUAUUAAUUAAAAUCAAGUGGGACUUGGAAGUUCCUGUCGUGGCUUAGUGGUUAACGAAUCUGACUAGGAACCAUGAGGGUGCAGGUUCGAUCCCUGGCCUUGCUCAGUAGGUUAAUGAUCUGGCGUUGCCAUGAGCUUGUGGUGUAGGUCACAGACAUGGUUCUGAUCCUGAGUUGCUGUGGCUCUGGCAUAGGCUGGCAGCUAUAGCUCCGGUUAGACCCCUAGCCCAGGAACAUUCAUAUGCUGAGGGUGCAGCCCUAGAAAAAGGCAUAAAAAAAAAAAUUCAAGGCAAUAUAUUUUUAACUCUUCUUGGUUUUUUUCCUGAUUUGUAUCCCCGUAUUUCUAAAAAUUGUGGUUGUAUUGGACUUUUUUAUUUAUCAAGUCAUGACCUUCCUGUGAAGGUUCAUAUGACUCUGUUUUGCCUACACAUAUCCCCAUUCUGAUCUGUUAUAGUUCUUCCAAUCGCAAUGUUUACUAUUUCUAUGUAAAUGAUAUCUUCUGCUGAUUAAAGGAUUCCUUCUUUCUUCUUUUUACAAUUUAAAUUUUUAAAUGUUUUUUUUUUUCCCCUGGGUCAGGGGUUGAACCUGGCCACAGAAAAGACCCAAGCCAUUGCAGUGGCCAGGUCCUUAACCUCCUGUGCCACAAGGGAGCUCAAAUUUUUUUCUUAGAAUUAAUAUUUACCUAAUUAUUUCAUUCACUGAUUUAGCUGCAAGUGUCUUACAAAUGUCUUUUCAAGUGUUCCAAUAGAUCUAUCAAACACUGCUCUUCAAAUGAGCUCAAAGUUAAAACACACAACCCUAGAGAUCAUCCUCUUCCUUUCCUUCCAGGAGAGACUGGUUUCCUUUCACACACUCCUUCUAGAUACCAUGCAUCCAUAUCUUUCUAUGCUUUCAUACCCAUUUUUGAUAGCCUGUUUCCUCCAGUGAUUUCUUUUAAGAAGAGUUAUUAUUUGUUAUUAGAGUUUCCUUUCUUUUACAUGGUUGAGCAGUUUGGCUGAAUAAGGAUUCUAGGUUGAAACUCAGAAUUUUGAAAGUGAUGCUUCAUUCUUUUUUUUAGUUUCCUAUGCAGCUGUUGAAAAGUCCUUUGCAAUUCUAGAUCCUAUUCUAUUACAUAUGACCUAACUGUUCAGCUUUAAAAGCUUUUAGGUGCUUCUCUUCAUGCUCACUGUACUGAAACAUCACUAUAUUAUACAUUGUAUAGCGUUUGUGGGUGUGUGUGUUGUGCUUCUUUUUUUAUCUUGGCAUCUCUGUUUAUUUAUUUUUUUCUUCUGGUGAUUUCUAACCCUCAAUACUGGAAGUUUUUCUUAUGUUAUUCUUUAAUACUAUAAUUGUGAUUAUUUUUUAUAAUUUCUUCCCUUAUUAUUCCAUUUACAAUCUCUUUAUUCUGAUUAUUCCAUUUACAUCCUCUGUAUUUAUCUUUUAAUUUUAUUAUCAUAUCUAUUCUCUCUUCAAUCACGCUCAUUUACUUCUGCUCUUUGAAAGUGCUCUGAAACUUUUGAGAUUCAGUUUUCUACCUUUCAAAAAUGUUCCUGAUAUAAGAUUUCAACAUUUAUGAGUUUUUUAAAAAAUACUUAUUUUUACAGAAUCUGCUGUUAUUUCUCAUAGAAUGUACUGGUUUGUCUUUUAAACUUGCUUUAUUUUUAUUUACCUGAUUCUUGCUCUCUACAUUUUCCGUUUCUUUUAGGUUUCUCUUUUUCUAUUUGUUUUUGUUGCUGUUCUUUUUUAUGUUGAAUUUUAUUCAUUUGUUGGUGUUCUUUGGAUACCAUUUUAUUUUUAAGAUGGAGGCACAAAAACUCUGUGUACAGGCACAUGACAUAUACUUUGUGGUUUCACUGUAAGGUGAUUUGCAGCAGAGAAAGCUUUGCUGGAGGAUCAUCACCACAUGUCAUUGUCUGGAGAUACUUUCUUUGGAGCUAUUUCAUUCUUGUAGAGAGGAAGCUUCUCUUCACAUGGGGUGGGGAACAGUGAAAGCUUAAGUGUUUACUUGGUAGAUUUUCAGAUAAUUCAGCUGUGUUCAGAUGCAGGCCUCACUCAAUCCCUCCUUGUGGCCUGGAUCCUCCAAGUCUUACAUAGGACUAAAGGUUGUGUUGUUCUUUGUAAACCAUGUUCCCUUCUGCAGGAACUUUAUGUAUAGCUUCCUUUUCUCUGUUAACUCCAGUUCCAAUUGUCCAUUUACUUUCAAAUGUUAUCAGAUCUCUUCUCUACCAUUGCUAUUUCCCCUACCUAUGGCUCUUUUUGGAUGCCCUGUUAAAUUCCUCUGCUAUUAUUUCAUUAGAGUUCAUUGCAAAAAAAAAUGGAUAAACACACAUGAUUCAUCUGAUAUGUUUAAUAGCAAUCCUUACUGUUUCUUGUUGUUUUUAAAUAUAUACUGUUUUGCAACAUGUUAUCCUUAAAAUUUGUGUGCUUUGCUCAUGAGUAUCAUGUUUUAUGUUCUUUUGAUCCUUUACAGUUUAAGAAGCACACGUUCAGAAGCACUAUUUUAUUCAUAGAAAAAUCCUUGGUAUAAGGUACAGGUAUAUUAUCCUAUUUUUCACACUUGACAGAUGGAGGGACUUCCACCCAUGGAGUUUAAUUAACAUGCCCAAGAUCACUCAGUCAAGUUUUUCAAGCUUCUGCAAUUAUAGAAUUUUGCCUCCCUUCCCCUCAACCUCUCAAGCCUGAUUUGUGGCAACUUUAUAAAACAAAGGGCAGAAGAAAAGGAAGAAGGGGAUGAAUUUCAAACAGCUUUUAAAGUCAUAUUUCUAAACUGUGAAUUUUCAAAUUGAGAUUGGAGGUAAUUUGAGGAUUUUGGUAUAUUUUGUGACACGUAGUCACUAUUGCAGUGAACAAUUGAGAUUUGCCUGAAAUAGGAGUUCCCGUCAUGGCGUGGUGGAAAAGAAUCUGAUUGGGAACCAUGAGAUUACAGGUUCAAUCCCUGGCCUCUUUCAGUGGGUUAAGGAUCCGGCAUUGCUGUGAGCUGUGGUGU
rnacentral:lncRNA from 1 species